rnacentral:rRNA from 1 species
AGAGACAGCAGUAGCCGCGGUAAAACGUAGGUGGCAAGCGUUGUCCGGAAUUAUUGGGCGUAAAGGGCUCGCAGGCGGUUUCUUAAGUCUGAUGUGAAAGCCCCCGGCUCAACCGGGGAGGGUCAUUGGAAACUGGGAAACUUGAGUGCAGAAGAGGAGAGUGGAAUUCCACGUGUAGCGGUGAAAUGCGUAGAGAUGUGGGGGAACACCAGUGGCGAAGGCGACUCUCUGGUCUGUAACUGACGCUGAGGAGCGAAAGCGUGGGGAGCGAACAGGAUUAGAGCCCCUGUAGUCCCUGUCUCUUAUACA